rnacentral:rRNA from 1 species
UGUUGUGAACUCGAAGAGUAGGGCGGGACACGUGGUAUCCUGUCUGAAUAUGGGGGGACCAUCCUCCAAGGCUAAAUACUCCUGACUGACCGAUAGUGAACCAGUACCGUGAGGGAAAGGCGAAAAGAACCCCGGCGAGGGGAGUGAAAAAGAACCUGAAACCGUGUACGUACAAGCAGUGGGAGCAUCCUUCGGGGUGUGACUGCGUACCUUUUGUAUAAUGGGUCAGCGACUUAUAUUCUGUAGCAAGGUUAACCGUAUAGGGGAGCCGAAGGGAAACCGAGUCUUAACUGGGCGUUAAGUUGCAGGGUAUAGACCCGAAACCCGGUGAUCUAGCCAUGGGCAGGUUGAAGGUUGGGUAACACUAACUGGAGGACCGAACCGACUAAUGUUGAAAAAUUAGCGGAUGACUUGUGGCUGGGGGUGAAAGGCCAAUCAAACCGGGAGAUAGCUGGUUCUCCCCGAAAGCUAUUUAGGUAGCGCCUCGUGAA